GAAGAGUUUCUUCUACUGUAUCAAGCCUCUCCAGCGGUCCUUGGUCUGCUCCAGUACUAUUGGUUGACCCCAGUCCAACAGAAGACACACCCUUCCUUUGGUCCUUUGGCUCUUCUUAGAAGCCUCUGAUGAAUCACCAAACCUCUUCAUGAUUCUCUAAACAUCCAACAUGAAGUGACUUCUCUUAGAACUUCUGUGGUGUGGAACUCAACACCCUGAGAGAUGUAGCAACAUGAAGAGUUGAAGAGUCGUACCAGUUGUUGACUCAACGUAGUUAGAAAACGGAGCUUCAACAGCUGAAUCAAGUCAGCGUGCUGUCUGGCGUAGACGGGAAUUCUGCCGGCGCUGCCACUCUGCCACUAACAAAGACAUACACACAUUAAGACCCAAAGAUCCAAUGAGACAGUUUUACCAUGGUGUACUAGAUAUGAGACAACAAGGGGGCUUUCUCCUGAGUCGUAGGAGCACAGAGACAUAGUACUGGGAUUGUGGUGAGAGCUGUGACAUGAUACACCCUGCGUGCUAGUCAAAUGGAGACUCAACAGCAGGCCUUCAAGCCCAACAGAUGACUGACAUAAAGGAGAAGAAAACAGAAGUAGAGGGGGAGAUUAAAUAAGAGAUGGGGGGAUUAUUGAAAGGCAUUAAAAUGACACAGAAGAUUAUUCCGACAUCGGCAGGCAGCAGCCAGCCAGAGACAGUCUGCUCAAGGUCACCAACUGGCUGAGAAUUGCCACUUCAAGAGACAAACAGAAAAGAACAUCAAGACAGCAGGAAGGAGACAAACAGAAAAGAACAUCAAGACAGCAGGAAGGAGACAAACAGAAAAGAACAUCAAGACAGCAGGAAGGAGACAAACAGAAAAGAACAUCAAGACAGCAGGAAGGAGACAAACAGAAAAGAACAUCAAGACAAC
rnacentral:lncRNA from 1 species